UACAGAGGCCCCAAGCGUUACUGAGAAUCACUGGGUUUAAAGGGUGCGUAGGUGGUCCGUUAAGUUCGUUGUGAAAGCCCUGGGCUCAACCCAGGAACUGCUUCGAAUACUGGCGGACUUGAGGCUAGUAGAGGUCACUGGAACUGACGGUGGAGCGGUGAAAUGCGUAGAUAUCGUCAGGAACGCCAAUGGUGAAGACAGGUGACUGGGCUAGAUCUGACACUGAGGCACGAAAGCGUGGGAUCAAACGGG
rnacentral:rRNA from 1 species